CCUAGACCACUUCAAAGGAAAUGCAGUCCAAGAACUGGGGAGACCAUGGCUGUGACAUAGUGGGAGGUGUUUCAGAAUGGAGCUGUGUGCUGUGUGCCUUGGUGCUACAGAUAGGAGCUGCCCCAGCCAGAUAAAAAGAGCUCACAGUAAUAUCUGGUGCCAGAUUAGCAGAGAAAUCUCUGCAAAAGAUCCAUCCACAGAGAACAAGCCACUUCUCUGCUUUCUGAACUUUCCAAAUGAGCUUAGGCUUGCGCUCCUACCACGCAGUGAUUUGAAGAUGUAG
rnacentral:lncRNA from 1 species